rnacentral:rRNA from 1 species
UUUGAGAGUUUGAUCCUGGCUCAGGAUGAAUGCUGGCGGCGUGUCUAAGGCAUGCAAGUCGAACGGGUUCCGCGAGCAAUCGCGGGAUUAGUGGCAAACGGGAGCGUAACACAUUGGUAACCUACCCUGAGGUCGUGAAUAACUCGUCGAAAGACGGGCUAAUACGCGAUGGGAGUGGGGGGACACAAGUCAUUCCCACUUAAAGAUUUAUUGCCUCAGGAGGGGCCUAUGUCCUAUCAGCUAGUUGGUGAGGUAACUGCUCACCAAGGCUACGACGGGUACCGGGUGUGAGAGCAUGACCCGGCUCACUGGGACUGAGACACUGCCCAGACUCCUACGGGAGGCUGCAGUCAAGAAUAUUCCACAAUGGACGAAAGUCUGAUGGAGCGACGCCGCGUGUAUGAAGAAGCCCCUCGGGGUGUAAAGUACUUUUCUCUCUGACGAAACAAUGACGGUAAGAGAGGAAUAAGGGGCUGCUAACCUCGUGCCAGCAGCAGCGGUAAUACGAGGGCCCCAAGCAUUAUCCGGAUUUAUUGGGCGUAAAGGGUCCGCAGGCUGUUUAUCGCAUCUCCUGUUAAAUCACGAGGCUCAACCUCGUGGCCGCAGGAGAGAUGGGUAAACUAGAGGCCGGGAGAGGUACGCGGAAUUGCUGGUGUAGGGGUUAAAUCCGUUAAUAUCAGCAGGAACACCAAAUGCGAAGGCAGCGUACUAGAACGGUUCUGACGCUCAGGGACGAAAGCGUGGGGAGCGAAUAGGAUUAGAUACCCUAGUAGUCCACGCCGUAAACGUUGGAUGCUGAUCAUUGGGAGUGUCGACCCUCUCAGUGGUGUCUACCUAAGUUAACACCUUAAGCAUCCCGCCUGGGGAGUACGGCCGCAAGGCUAAAACUCAAAGGAAUAGACGGGGACCCGCACAAGCGGUGGAGCAUGUGGUUUAAUUCGACGAUAAACGAGGAACCUUACCAAGGCUUGACAUCCGGCUGCAGAAUCCUGGAAACAGGAUAGCCUUCGAGGGUGCCGGACAGAUGCUGCAUGGUU